UCAGACCAAAGCAGGUGCAGCCGCAGCAGGUGACUGCCCACAGCUCUCUCCACCUGGGAGGGCAGAGCUGGCUGCUCAGCACAGACACACCUGGGCUGGUCAGCAGAAGACAGAGUGUUUAAAAAGCAGCCUCCUCAGAUGGAAGCAACCAGAUGAAGAGGUACAGACGAUCUAAGAGCCUGCUCAAGACUGACGAGAAAAGAUUCCAGCCACAGAAUGUCAUCGCCUGGGACCUUUGGUGUUCACCCACAGUGACACAGCUGGCUCCUGGCAGUGACUAACCCAAGUCUGAGGAAGUUGGGAAGUUACCUUGAGGAAUGUCCUCCAACUAUACUCCAGGCUACCCCCA